rnacentral:pre_miRNA from 1 species
CAAGUACUCCCUCCGUCUGGAAAUACUUGUCCUAAAAAUGAUUGUAUCUAGACUUAUUUUAGUUAUAGAUACAUCCAUUUUACCCAUUUCUAUGACAAGUAUUUUCGGACGGAGGGAGUACUUG